UAAACCCAGUGCAGCCCUCCUCCACCACCCCCACCCCACCCUGUAGUGCAUGCUCAGACCCUGGACAGGCUCCUCCUCCUCCUCCACCACCCUGCAGUGCAGUGCUCAGACCUGGACAGGCUCCCUCCUCUCCUCACCCUGCAGUGCAGUGCUCAGAACCUGGACAGGCUCCUCCUCCUCCACCCGCAGUGCAGUGCUUAGUCACUGGACAGGCUCCUCCUCCUCCUCCACCCUGCAGUGCAGUGCUCAGACCCUGGACAGGCUCCUCCUCCACCCUGCAUUGCAGUGCUCAGACCCUGGACAGGCUCCUCCUCCUCCCUGCAUUGCAGUGCUCAGACCCUGGACAGGCUCCUCCUCCUCCUCCACCCUGCAUUGCAGUGCUCAGACCCUGGACAGGCUCCUCCUCCUCCUCCACCCUGCAUUGCAGUGCUCAAAACCGAACAGUCGCCAUUCAAAUUCACACAGUCGCCAGAACAAGAACAGCUUUCAACCGGACAUAAACAGCGCAGUCAUGCUGUACCUCGCUUUGUUUUUCAUCUCGGCAGCCGUCGCCACCCCUCUGUUGGGGACUGAACAGUGGGUAACUAGUGUCUACUCUCUCCUAGCCGUCGCCACCCCUCUGUUGGGGACUGAACAGUGGGUAACUAGUGUCUACUCUCUCCUAGCUGUCGCCAC
rnacentral:lncRNA from 1 species